rnacentral:lncRNA from 1 species
AUUAGGUGGGUGCAGAGUAAGAGUAGGGGGCUUUGUGUGCCCUACUACUAGGGUUUGUUUGGGUUCUUCCACCAAGAGUGAAAUGUAUUUGAAGCGUUUGAUAAUCCUCGUUAUGGUAUCCCUUCUUGUUUGGAGUACUUCAGUGUGGUCCUAUAUGCUGGCCCGUAAGGAUAGUUAGGUGUACGUUACAAUUAUAGAUGUUUGCAUGAGGAAGAUCAGUCACUGAAGAUCUCCCAGCAAUGCCAGCAGAAGACGUGUGCUGAAGUACGGAGGUGCGUGGCUGUGCCGCAUGGGGAGAGGGCGUUCCUGUUCAUGACUGAUCUUUCCUGCUCAGCAACUGCUUGGUGCUGAUAGAACUGUGAGGUAACAUGCGCUGGAAGUCCUGCUGAUGUCUAAAAGCCUCAGGAUUUGGUGAGCACAAAGAUAAAAAGCUAAAUCUGUGCAAGGAAGCCUGGAGCAUCUGGGGAGGGAAAUUUGAGCUGUUAGCUGCCUCAGUCUUUUUUCUUUUUUUCUUUGCUUUCCACUUGUAUUGGCGUUUACAUCAGUGCAGCAUCACCACUGUGUUGAUAACAUUGUAUGGUGACUUUGCAUUUACUUUACAAUGGUGUGGUUGGCUUCACAAAAGAGAAAUAGACUCCAGGAAUCUUUUUUUCAGCUUACAGAGAUAUAAAUCUAAGAUUGUUUUGUUGGAUUUUUGCAGGCUCUCUUAUCUAGAGUUCUGCCACCACUGUACUAAUGUAACUGAAUACUGUGGUUUUAUUUCAUUAUUUUUUACAUGUUUUCCACAGAAACAAGAGUUAUAAAGUCAAAGUAAGUAGAAGCAUUGAAUAUAUUUUAUUUGUGUUCCAGUAGUGGUAUGAAUGGCUGUGGUAUUUCAGUAGGAGUUGCAGGGGUAGAUAUAGAGCAAACUAUUUGCUUUUUCAUGGUAAUAUUGCAUACUGAUUUACUGUAUGUGGCAUUAUGGGUAGUAACUUUAGAGUUGGAAAUAAGUUAUCUGUAACUGGAAAUGGAAGAAUCAUUUUAAAAGUCAGAUAUGAAUCAAGACACCAAAUUAUGAUGUUUUGCUAAUAAGGAAAAGUUAAUUUCAUCAGUGACAUGAGGAAAAUGUUGAGCUUUCCAAUUAUUGCCUUGCGUUUCUUUCAAACUUCAUUAAGAUGUAAUUGUUUCAAGCAAAUAUUUUUAGUAUGUGUUCCCCACAUAAUAGAGCAAUGUAGAGAGUGAUGUAUAUGUAAAACUGCAGCUGAACAAAACAGUAUUUUUUCUCAACAUGCUGCACUUCCCCUCUGGGUUGUUGAUGACCUGUUGUUUAUGCAGUGCCAUGCAGCUGACAGUCAGUCUCCAAGACUGUGGUUCCAGUUUCCAGGUUGUGGCUAAAGUCUAGCUGUAGCAGUGAUUUACUCAUAAUGUCUGUUAUCUUCCUCAUUUGUUGAUUGUAAAAUGCAUGUUAAAUAUUUUUUUAUUUUCAAAAGAGGUCUUAAGUGUUUAUGUGAACUGAAAAAUAUCUGUAGAUGAAAAAGCAAAACAACUGAUAAUAC